UGUUUUGCCGGACAAUCCUUGCCAACAAACUAUUGUGUGUGUGAACAAGUGUUGUUGUUAGUGAGUGAGUGCGUGCGUGCGUGCAUGCGUGUGUUCGAAGCUUUGCAUCGCCAUCUCAUAGCUUCGACCGGAGCCGUCCUGGUCCUCCGCCGGCGCUACGCUUGUCACUCAGGCCUCUUCCUUCUGACCCACACACACUCCUGCCCUUCGCUUCCAUGAGGGCCUGCCGACUCUUACCAGCGCAUAUUCGACCUGCAGCGUCUGGCGUACCUGGCCUACGCCGUGCCUUGGUUCGGAUACCUGUGACCGAACCCGGUACCUGCUAGAACCCUCUUGCACGUAUGGAUUCCUCUUUAAGGUACAGUGGUUUCUGCCUGCUGCCGCUAGUGGUCACCUUAUCUACGCCCCAUGGAGCUGAGUCGUCCCGGUUGUGCCCACGAUGGACGUGUGGCCUGUCCUGUGUGAACGCCAGCUACCUCUCGGCGAGGCUAUAGGGACCCUAUCUACGUCUUCUGCCACCACCUGCUCACAGGAGUGUCGCGCUGUCGAGGCUUACUCCCGCACUUCAUCUCAUCCAUUGUUUGUGUGUGAAUGACUUGUGUGAAUGAGGGUUGUGUGAAAGUUGGGGUGUGAGUGUUUUGCUUAGGUGUUGUUUGUGAAAUAUAUUGAUUGUUAUUUUCUGUGGUGAGUUUAUUA